rnacentral:lncRNA from 1 species
AUGUGUUGCGGCCUCAGGAGAGCCGAGAAAGGCAAUCUCCUUGGCUCUGAUCUGCAUGCCCUCUCAAGUCAAGUGGUGUCUGCUGACCUGCAGAGCGUGGAGCUCUUCACAGAACUUUUGUGGAAGAUGAGAACGAGUUCUGAUGCUUUUUCUAUCAAAAAGACCGGUCAACCUGAAAAGCACCCACACGCCACCCAGGGGAGUUCCACAGUCAGCAGCUCCCAGCCUUUCCAUCACCUCUGCCCUGGGAUGCCUACGGAGGAAGGAGUGACUGAGUGCAACUGCAGCUAGACUCACUUUCUCCCAUGCUCAACCCCCACUGAACACCACGGAAAGCCCCGAACCACCAGCUGGUGAGCGAUCCCCCUGCACCGAGCAGCCUGGCGUGGAGCGAGGCGUGAAGCCUGUCCCGGUAUAAAGCAGGGCAGCUCUCCCCUCCCUCAUCUCUGCAUCUCUUCCUUGAUGAACCACGAAGCUCUGCACCACAGGUGUCGUCCCAGGUGGUCCCUACUCUCAUUCACAGUGGUUUUUGUCCCAUGGGGAGCGCGCUUGCAAAGUUACCCACCACCGGAGCCAGGGAGAGA